rnacentral:rRNA from 1 species
GACGAACCGUGCGAACGUUGUUCGGAAUCACUGGGCUUAAAGGGCGCGUAGGCGGGCUGUCGCGUUUUGGGGUGAAAUCCUCCGGCUCAACCGGGGAAGGGCCUCGGGUACGGACGGCCUCGAGGGGGGUAGGGGCGUGCGGAACUGUGGGUGGAGCGGUGAAAUGCGUUGAUAUCCACAGGAACUCCGGUGGCGAAGGCGGCACGCUGGACCCCUUCUGACGCUGAGGCGCGAAAGCCAGGGGAGCGAACGGG